GCCGCCGUGGCGGAACUGGCAGACGCGCACGACUCAAAAUCGUGUUCUGGCAACAGAGUGUGAGUUCAACUCUCACCGGCGGCA
rnacentral:tRNA from 1 species